rnacentral:rRNA from 1 species
CGCGUAGGCGGGAUCUUAAGUUAGGUGUGAAACUCCGGGCUCAACUCGGAGACUGCACUUAAAACUGGGAUUCUUGAGGGCAGGAGAGGAAAGUGGAAUUCCUAGUGUAGCGGUGAAAUGCGUAGAUAUUAGGAGGAACCCCAGUGGCGAAGGCGACUUUCUGGACUGUACCUGACGCUGAGGCGCGAAAGCGUGGGGAGCAAACG